AUUAAUGCUACCAGUCCAUCAACCUGUCAUUGGAAAUACCAUGUCAAUUUAAAAUUCCAAGAUAGCCUACACUCUCCGUACUAUAAGAGGUUUUGUUAUGAAUUUAAAAACCUGUUACUUCAAAAUUCCUUGUCAAAAGUUUUAUUACCUUACAAUUAGUGUAAAUGCAAUAAAACAUAGAAAGACACAUCAUGUAUAAAAUUCAUAGGUAAUCAUCUGCCAUACCAGGUCAGAAACAUACUGGAAG
rnacentral:misc_RNA from 1 species